AUGGCCCCUGCCCAUCCUGCAGAUAUAGGAGCUCCUUGGGGUUGGGGCUGGGGCCUCAAGGGCUGGUACGCGGAAGGGGGUCUCACCCAGCGGCGGGCGGCUCCCGCUCUCCCCGUCCUCCAUCGCCUUUCGCCCCCCCGCCGGCAGGCGGCGCCCCUCCGUCCGGCUUCCCGCCGGGGUCGCGACGGGGCGUGCGCGCUCAAAGGCUGCCCGGCUCGGACGCCCGCACUUCCUGGUGGGAGCGGGCCUAACGGCGGGGUCCCCCUCGGGUCCCAGGGCCCGCGCUUGCUGCCCCCGCCCCUCCUCCUGGGAGCGCUCGGGGCGGAGCCGGCCGGGCGCGCUGGGCUCCCGCCCCUCUACCGGCGGUCACCUGGGGCCGGGCGCAGCAGGUGUCUGGUCUGGCGUCCCGAGCCGGCGACGCGGAGCGCGAGCCCGGAGCCUCGACGCGCCGGGUGGCCCCGGGAGGUGUCGGCAGGGCCCAACCCCGGAAUUCCAGAGGCGACCGCAAGGACCCAGCCGGCGGAGAAACGUCCAGCUGGGAGGAAACGUGCUCGCUUCGCCCCACCUUGUGCAAAUGACUCGGCCUCUAAGACUGGAAUCUUUCUGUGGUAUCCGCGGUAUGGAAUUAUUGGGAAUUGCCAGUAG
rnacentral:lncRNA from 1 species